rnacentral:rRNA from 1 species
AAGCGGAGGAAAAGAAACCAACAGGGAUUGCCCUAGUAACGGCGAGUGAAGCGGCAACAGCUCAAAUUUGAAAUCUGGCUCUUUUAGAGUCCGAGUUGUAAUUUGCAGAGGGCGCUUUGGCUUUGGCAGCGGUCCAAGUUCCUUGGAACAGGACGUCACAGAGGGUGAGAAUCCCGUACGUGGUCGCUGGCUAUUGCCGUGUAAAGCCCCUUCGACGAGUCGAGUUGUUUGGGAAUGCAGCUCUAAAUGGGAGGUACAUUUCUUCUAAAGCUAAAUAUUGGCCAGAGACCGAUAGCGCACAAGUAGAGUGAUCGAAAGAUGAAAAGCACUUUGGAAAGAGAGUCAAACAGCACGUGAAAUUGUUGAAAGGGAAGCGCUUGCAGCCAGACUUGCUUACAGUUGCUCAUCCGGGUUUCUACCCGGUGCACUCUUCUGUAGGCAGGCCAGCAUCAGUUUGGGCGGUAGGAUAAAGGUCUCUGUCACGUACCUCCUUUCGGGGAGGCCUUAUAGGGGAGACGACAUACUACCAGCCUGGACUGAGGUCCGCGCAUCUGCUAGGAUGCUGGCGUAAUGGCUGUAAGCGGCCCGUCUUGAAACACGGACCAAGGAGUCUAACAUCUAUGCGAGUGUUUGGGUGUCAAGCCCGAGCGCGUAAUGAAAGUGAACGGAGGUGGGAACCCGCAAGGGUGCACCAUCGACCGAUCCUGAUGUCUUCGGAAGGAUUUGAGUAAGAGCAUGGCUGUUGGGACCCGAAAGAUGGUGAACUAUGCUUGAAUAGGGUGAAGCCAGAGGAAACUCUGGUGGAGGCUCGCAGCGGUUCUGACGUGCAAAUCGAUCGUCAAAUUUGGGCAUAGGGGCGAAAGACUAAUCGAACUAUCUAGUAGCUGGU